GAGUUUGAUCGUGGCUCAGGAUAAACGCUGGCGGCGUGCAUGAGACAUGCAAGUCGAACGGACGAUCAGGGCUUGCUCUGAUCGUUAGUGGCGGACGGCUGAGUAACGCGUAGGUGACCUCGCCCCGAAGGUGGGGGAUAACUGCCCGAAAGGGUGGCUAAUACCGCAUGUGGUGGUUCGUUCAUUCGAACCACCAAAGCAGCAAUGCGCUUCGGGAGGGGCCUGCGUCCGAUUAGCUCGUUGGUGGGGUAACGGCUCACCAAGGCGACGAUCGGUAGGUGGUCUGAGAGGACGAUCACCCAGACUGGGACUGAGACACGGCCCAGACUCCUACGGGAGGCAGCAGUCGGGAAUUUUGCGCAAUGGACGAAAGUCUGACGCAGCAACGCCGCGUGAGGGAU
rnacentral:rRNA from 1 species